UACGGAGGGUGCAAGCGUUGUCCGGAUUUAUUGGGUUUAAAGGGUGCGUAGGCGGCUUAUUAAGUCAGGGGUGAAAGACUGCAGCUCAACUGUAGCAGUGCCUUUGAUACUGAUGAGCUUGAGUACAGAUGAGGCCGGCGGAAUGGGUGGUGUAGCGGUGAAAUGCAUAGAUACCAUCCAGAACACCGAUUGCGAAGGCAGCCGGCUAAACUGUAACUGACGCUGAGGCACGAAAGCGUGGGGAUCGAACAGGAUUAGAAACCCCCGUAGUCC
rnacentral:rRNA from 1 species